AUUGAACGCUGGCGGAAUGCUUUACACAUGCAAGUCGAACGGCAGCACGGGGGCAACCCCGGUGGCGAGUGGCGAACGGGUGAGUAAUACAUCGGAACGUGCCCAGUCGUGGGGGAUAACGUAGUGAAAAUUACGCCAAUACCGCAUACGAUCUAUGGAUGAAAGCGGGGGAUCGCAAGACCUCGCGCGAUCGGAGCGGCCGAUAUCAGAUUAGGUAGUUGGUGGGGUAAAGGCCCACCAAGCCAACGAUCUGUAGCUGGUCUGAGAGGACGACCAGCCAAACUGGAACUGAGACACGGUCCAGACGCCUACGGGAGGCAGGAGUGGGGAAUUUUGGACAAUGGGCGAAAGCCUGAUCCAGCCAUUCCGCGUGCAGGAUGAAGGCCCUCGGGUUGUAAACUGCUUUUGUACAGAACGAGAAGGUUUCUACUAAUACUAGGAGCUCAUGACGGUACUGUAAGAAUAAGCACCGGCUAACUACGUGCCAGCCGCCGCAGUAA
rnacentral:rRNA from 1 species